GUUCCCUGUGAGUGCAACAGUGAGAGGUAGAUCAGGCAGAAGAAAUCACGAGAAACCGAGACCACUAUCAAUGUCCUGCUAAGCAUGUUCUUGAUCUGUCAACUCACUGAUCUUCCUUAGUAUCCUGUAAGUUAAUUGUAUGGUGCAUCAUUGAAGGGACACGACCAAGUAUAUGUGGUAACACCACUUCAAGAAGGAAUGUAAGAUUCUGUUGGAACCAAGAACAAGAUAGAUCAGUAAAAUCUUUGGGAAUGGCCAAAUUAUUCAACUAAGAAGCAAAAGAGACGGACUGAAAGUCCCACAUGCAGUUCAUAAACUGAAGCUGCUCUGAAGGGGUGGAAAUCCUUCCUCAUCUCUGAGGCUGCACAGCAUCUCCACAGAACUUAAAGAGGCUGCUCUGUCAGAGUAUCUUUAUGCCAAGUAGAAGAUUGAAGAUGCAUAAGGUAUUCUUGAAGCCUGCUUCCUGUUGAAAGAAAAUUGCCUCGGCAUAGGAUCUCUGCAAGACAGCUGUAGACUGCUUCCUGGAGAACCCAUUCUAGGCUUCAGGACGCCAAAGAAGAAUGAAGCCAAGGAUGAAGGCUGGAAGAACAUGCUAAGAGCACAGCUUUUUCAUUACCACAGUGCAGAUGUUUGAAGUGACACUAUGAUCUGCUUGCACAAACUGAAAUGCAGCCCAGACUUUUGAACUGUCUGAAUUACAUUGCGGUUUGGAGACACGCAUAGUCGGGCGGACAUGAGAACAUUUAAUUAGCUUUAGGUACUGCUUUUUCUUUUUCUUUCCUGACACCCUGACUCCAUGAGCUCCAUGUUGAAUCUGCAUGCUGUUGAAUCUGCGUGCUGUGUAUUCAUGGGCUCUCUUCACAGGAGAGAGGCAGAGAUUCCCAAGUUGACAAUUACUAAAAAUGGCCAAGAUGCAUGGUUGUGAUGCUGCUUGCAAACUAAUUAGCUUUGCUGAAAAGCAACUAUUUUCAGUUUUGGCUUCACUCUUCUUGAAAGAAGCCGUGUUUGAACACCUACAAGUGUAACUGCAUUUAUGCUGUGCUGCAUGCAUGACGCUAGCUAUUUUUUAAUGUCAGUUUAAAGACCUAAGAAUUCUCUCAAUAGAGAUCUAAUUUUAUGAAAGUAUUCCCGAUUCUCAUGUUGGAUACUGUGUGCCUAACCCCUCUCACAUCAUGAUUUAAGUAGUCCAGCUUCAGGCAUUGAAUUGCACUUCUGCACCAGGGCACAAUGAUCCUAAAAGCUACUACCAAUUCAAUAGAGAUUUGAGCAGGGCAUUUGUAGGCUUCUGAUAUAUUGUGUUAAAAAUCAGGCAAAAGCUGCAUACCUCUGAAGUGCCUGGGGGAAAGUUUGUGUGUGACUGAAGGUAAACACAAGUCCUAUGGAUAACUGAAGUUAAGAAGCGCUCUGCAACAACGUCAUAGUGUUUCCAAAAUUAUAAAGAAACUUAAAAAUGAAUUUGAAGAGACUGACUGACAAGACAGUCUCAUAACACUGUCAAGUCAAAAUCUUUCUACGUUUCAUAGAUGAAUUUUAUUUUUAUUGUUAAAUCAAAUAUAUUUUUAUUCCAAGAUUAUAUAUUCAGCAAGUUAAAGAGCAUACUGUACAUAACUAUUGGCAGAAUGUAAAAGACACCUCUUUUACUUGAUGAAUAUCAGGAAAAUCAAGCAUAGAUUAAUCAUCACUGAUGGACUAUUAAAAAUUUUCAUCGCUAAAAUAAAUCUGUAUUUAAUUUUAGUCCCGUUAUUAUCACAGCCAACUUCUUUCAUUGCAAGAUUUUUCAACUAGCUAUCCCCCUCCAUAAAUUGUACUUAGAAUAAGACUUUUCUGGAUUUUAGAAAAGUAGCACUGUAUCUAGGACUAGUUUACUUUGUUCACUCAAUUUCCUGUUUCUGCCGUGUAGUUGUAAGUUCAAGGCUUCCUUCAUAUUUAAAUUUCUAGCCUUAAUUCCUACUCUUUUUUUUUGUUUACCUUAACACAACUAGAAUCUGUGUGUGAGACAGACAUGUAAGCAAGAUUAUUCAAAACCAGUAGCUGUCUUUGGUGUAAAGGGAGAGAAACUGUUCCUUUUCCUUACAGAAUACUAGCAUCUGUUCUCUUCCUUUCCCUGAACAGGUUCUGAUGCUCCCAUAGUUUUCUGCUUAGUGUGAGAAGAAAUCAAAAGCCAAUACCUUGUUCACUCCUUACCUUUUUUUUUUUAUGGGAUAGAUUGCAUUUUUUCUACAGACCAGGGAUAUCCGUGUCUAGACUUCAAGAAAAUCAAAUCAAGCACAGGAGUUUAGCAGCUUGAUUUAUAGUAACAUUUAUUCCACAGAAUGAUCAGGUAAGCCUUGAUGACAAUUUAGGCAUAAAAAAUGCCCCUUCUGUGCAUAUUAAUAUUCAGUUUAAGUGGUAUUUAAUUCAUAUUACUUUCAGCCAUGUCUAUAUUGUCAGGCCCACAGAUAGGAAAAAAAUCCUGAUUAAUUAAAAAAGCACCAAUUUAAAAACCUGUUUGGUUCAAGAAGUUUGUGAAAUAUCUUUGUAAUAUUGGCCUACAAUAAGCCAACCAGAUUUUAUUUGCUUUUUCAUAUUUAAGAUAUGUUGUAUCUAUAAUCACUUGUUUAAGUGCAAGUUACCUAUCUAAUCCUAAAUUCAAACUUUUUUAUAGAUGAUAUUUAGAGUUAUUCUGCAUACAAUGUUUAAAUAAACAGUGUGCUUUUCAGUUAUUUAGAUCACAAAGAUAAAAUUGUAAACAUUUCAGAGAAUGUCUACGGAAAGUUUUAAUUAUAAUAUUCCAUUCAGCAACUAAAAAAAAUCCUAUGCACUUUUUUAUUGUUAUUCAGGCUUUCUAAAAACACCACAUGAAAAGGCUCCUUUUUCAGAAUGCAUCAGAAUAUGAUGAGUUAAUGUGUCAAAAUAAUGUCAAAAUAACUGUUCUGAAGUAUCAGUCGAAAAAUAUUGAUACAAAUUAAAACUGGUGGAUUUCAUAUAUUAUCAAGUAUAUCUCCAAGUUAAUUUUAAUAAAAUCCUCCUUGCUUUUGUAAAUCAGAAGUAGUUCUUUGGCAUGUCCUUAAAAAUUUUUUUGCAGGUGCUGAAGUACACAGUCCUUCACCUCAAAUGAGGCCAAAAUCUCAUUGGUGACAAAUAAUUGCCAUGCAUAGGCAAAACCCCCAA